rnacentral:rRNA from 1 species
GGAUUAGGCAUGCAAGUCGAACGAGGAUAUAUCCUUCGGGAUAUAAGCCGAGUGGCACAAGGGUGAGCAAUGCAUAGAUUACCUGCCUCCGGGAUAAGGACAACUUUGUGAAAACGGAGCUAAUACUUAAUAAUACAAAGAAAAGUUUCUUUUCUCUGUCAAAAAAAGGGUAUUUUUAAUACCUUUUGCCUAAAGAGGGGUUUAUGUCCUAUCAGCUUGUUGGUAGGGUAACGGCCUACCAAGGCGAAGACGGGUAGUCGGCCUUAGAGGGUAGUCGGCCACACUGGAACUGAGACACUGUCCAGACUUCUACGGAAGGCUGCAGUCGAGAAUCUUUCGCAAUGCCCGAAAGG